rnacentral:misc_RNA from 1 species
AAGUCGUAACAAGGUUUCCGUAGGUGAACCUGCGGAAGGAUCAUUACAAGGUCAUCACAGGGGAAUAGGUCCCCAGUAUCCACCCGUGUCUAUAUACUCUUGUUGCUUUGGCGGGGCGUGGCCUCCACUGCGGGCUCUGCUCGUACGUACCCGCCAGAGGACCAAACUCUGAAUGUUAGUGAUGUCUGAGUACUAUAUAAUAGUUAAAAC